GAGACAGCAGCAGCCACGGUAAUACGUAGGUCCCGAGCGUUGUCCGGAUUUAUUGGGCGUAAAGCGAGCGCAGGCGGUUAGAUAAGUCUGAAGUUAAAGGCUGUGGCUUAACCAUAGUACGCUUUGGAAACUAUUUAACUUGAGUGCAAGAGGGGAGAGUGGAAUUCCAUGUGUAGCGGUGAAAUGCGUAGAUAUAUGGAGGAACACCAGUGGCGAAGGCGGCUUUUUGGCCUGUAACUGACACUGAGGCGCGAAAGCGUGGGGAGCAAACAGGAUUAGAUACCCCGGUAGUCCCUGUCUCUUAUACA
rnacentral:rRNA from 1 species